CAGCCGCCGCGGUAAUACCGGCGGCCCGAGUGGCGGUCACUAUUAUUGGGCUUAAAGCGUCCGUAGCCGGGUUGGGAAGUCCUCCGGGAAAUCUGGCCGCUUAACGGUCAGAAUGCCGGAGGAUACUCCCAGCCUAGGGAGCGGGAGAGGCCGAGGGUAUUCCCGGAGUAGGGGUGAAAUCCUAUAAUCCCGGGAGGACCACCUGUGGCGAACGCGCUCGGCUGGAACGCGUCCGACGGUGAGGGACGAAGGCCAGGGGAGCAAACCGGAUUAGAUACCCGGGUAGUCCUGGCGGUAAACGAUGCGGACUUUGUGUCGGACAAGCUAUGAGCUUGUCCGGUGCCGGAGGGAAACCGUUAAGUCCGCCGCCUGGGGAGUACGGCCGCAAGGUUGAAACUUAAAGGAAUUGGCGGG
rnacentral:rRNA from 1 species